GGUUAACCUAAAAUUUAUCUCCUUCGAUAAACAACUAAGGACGACUCCUUCCGCCAGCGGAGAACUAGCCGAAUGGUAAUUGAAUUAGUUAAAAGGAAGUUGCAAGAUUAGAAAAUGAAACCUAGAAGGGCAACACCACACUGGAGUCACACUCCCCACCUAGAUUCAAAAAGCUACCCAAUCCAAAAUAGAAACAGAAUAGGGGAGUUGAGAAGCAAAACGCCAAAUGCAUCGAAAGGGCCAGGAUUAGCGCCGAAUGAACUGGGAAAGGCAUGGUAGGGACAUGAGCAUCUUAUUCUCCUAUAGCCUCGACAGACGAUGAGCAACCAGACCCAUAAGCACUGCCGAACAGCUAGUUGACAAGGAAACUCCCUAACGUCAAAAACAAAACCAUCAUGUGCUGAUCUGCACCAAAAUCCUCACAAUGAAGCACAAUACCAGUAGAUGAACAGAGAGCAAGACCAAUCAAAACUAUACACAAGUCAACCAAAAGGUGAGAGGGAGAUCCACCCUU
rnacentral:misc_RNA from 1 species